AGGACUUGUUCCAGCUACAUUCAUGCUGAGUAGGAUCUCAUUCAGCAAACAGCCUCUCAGUAAUCAAUAUGCCUGCGGGGGAGGAAAUACAGAGUGCCAGAGAACCCAGCAAGGCAGUAUAAGUCACAGCCAUGAAGAGCAGCUGGAGACAGGCAAAGCAAGGCAAGGCCCAGCGAUGUGAGUACCAGGCCACCCUGCUGCCCAGCACUGUGGAUAUUAGAGUGACAACGUUACAGUACUAUUGCUCGUCAUUAUUUCCUAGGUCACAGAGUACCAGAUUGCUGAUGCAGAACACCGUUUCACUUGCUGGGUUCUCCAGGGCAGCAUCAGGAUUUAUUUGUUGUUUUGUGGAAGAGACGCUCACUAGACCUCAGGAUCAUGCACUACUUUGCAAGCUGGCUAUCCAGAAUUGGUAAAAAGUGCUCUGAAAAAUCCUGGAUGCGUCUCAUGACCGUGUCAGAGAAACAAAGGUAAGAUUCCACUUGUCCUGAUUUCUAGACCAUACCCCACUAGCAUCCAGCAGUGUUUAUUAAUCGUGGUUGUUGUAAGAGUAUUCACAAAAUGUCUGUGAUGACGUUGCUUUGUUAAGAAAAGGAGCCCUUUCAGAAAGAAAAUCUCUCCACUUUGAUUCAGAUGCACUGCUGUAUUGGCCAUGAUGAAAUUCCCAUUGUGACUGUGUGAGUGUACUUAUUGCUUUUCCUGAGAACGUCUUUUGAUUCAUUCAUUCGCUAAUGUCUUGGAGCAUUUUGAAC